AUUGAACGAUAGAGGGAUGCCUUACACAUGCAAGUCGAACGGAGUGGCGAACGGGUGAGUAAUGUAUCGGAACGUGCCCAGUAGCGGGGGAUAACUACGCGAAAGCGUAGCUAAUACCGCAUACUAUUGGAGCGGCCGAUAUCGGAUUAGCAAGUUGGUGGGGUAAAGGCUCACCAAGGCGACGAUCCUUAGCUGGUUUGAGAGGACGACCAGCCACACUGGGAAUGAGAAACGGCCCAGACGCCUACGGGAGGCAGCAGUGGGGAAUUUUGGACAAUGGUGUAAACCCUUAUCCAGCCAUACCGCGUUUGCGAUGAAGGCCUUCGGGUUGUAAAGCACUUUUGGCAGGAAAGCGGUACCUGCAGAAUAAGCACCUGCUAACUACGUGCCAGCAGCCGCUGUAAUUC
rnacentral:rRNA from 1 species